GGCCGACUAGCUCAGUUGGUUAGAGCGUCGUGCUAAUAGGCUAGACAGCCGAUCCGCUCCUUAUCCGGCGGACCGGUUGUGUAACCCGUUCAACGCGAAGGUCUUGGGUUCGAUCCCCACGUUGGCCA